rnacentral:ncRNA from 1 species
UCAGCGAGAUGUCCUUCCCGCUGGUGACGCUUAUGAGAAGCCUUUGCAGCCCCGCAAGGGGCAUCCGGCACGACUAUAAAGAAUCAGAACGGAUGUUAAAUUGCAAGUCAGCUCCCGCGCUGGCGACACUUUCGAAUUGCGGGAAAUCCCUAAAGCUUGUGACUACCAACCGCGCUGAGAAAUCCGCGCGGGGCUCAUGCUAACGACAUGAGGUACGGUAAUAAGGUCGCAAGAUAAGCAGAAUGGGUGAUCCGCAGCCAAGGCCCUAAAACUUCGGUCAGGGGACAGGUUCACAGACUAAGUGGAAGUGGGUUGAACGGGGUUCAGCUUAAGAUAUAGUCGGGCCCGGCGAGAAAUCGCUGGGG